UAGCGCGUCAUCUGGGGAGUAGCCAGCCGUUCCGCUGACGGGACGGGCCAUAUGUCAACAUAUUUGGCCGAGAGGUCAUGGCAUAUGGGACGCGGUAUCAGCCGCAUCGGGCGAGACCAAUGGCAUCGGCUUCCCAGUCCGGCCGGGCGGGGAAGACGGUGGCAUUGUGUCUUUGGUUUUAGCCCGGCCCGGAC
rnacentral:sRNA from 2 species